UGGACCCUUAAACCCACUAAAAAGCAACAUUUUAAACACUUUUUUGAUGAGUGUAACACACUCGCCCCACGCCGGCUUUCACGUCAGCUUCCACGUUAUUUUAAAUACUACAUGAAAUUCUACAUCAUUUUUAAAAUGCCACAUAAGAAAUGAAAUAUUAAAAAAUAAAUUAAGAAUUAAAAAAUAAAUAAAAAUUAAAAUGAAUUUAAGUCUUCUAUCUUCUCUAUCUCUCUUCUUCAUCUUCCUUCUCCAUCUUCUCUCUUCUCUUUCUGUCCACUCUCACUUCUCCAUUUCUCCACAGCCGUACCACCGCUACCGGUGUGACAACAAUCCAUUAACAUGCUGCUAUCACCUACCACCAGUGUAAACCCCACCAUCCUUCACCAUUUGUGUAUUGGUUACAAAUUAACCAUCAAUAUUAACACCAAAAAAACCAACAUUAUCUUUUGUAUGUGUGUUGGUUAAAGAUUUAAAAUGUGUGGGAUGUGAAAAAUGUAGAUAAAAGAUGGUGGUGAAAGAUGAACGAUGGAUGGUUCGUGAAGGGUUCGUCGUCAUCGUCGUCGGUCAUGGCAGCCUUGAGGCUCUAAUGGCUAUGGCAGCCCUUUCUAACUCAGAUUUUCUAAAUCAACAAUUUUUUUUAUUUUCUUGAUUUUGUAGAUCACGAUAGGAAACAAUUAAGAUUUCUUGUUCUGUUGAUUGUUUGAUUUACAAAUCACAGAACUUUAGAUGAUUUUUUGUUCACA
rnacentral:lncRNA from 1 species